AUCUUGAAGAAUCAAAAAUUCAAUACACUCUUGUAUAACUCAAAAAGAAUAGAUAUUUAGUCAAAACGAAUAUAGUAUUGAAAUUAGAAUGAUUAUUACAAAAAAUAAGAAGAUUAAAAAGUCUUGAAAUAAGACUAAAGACUAAAAAGAUGUUAAAAAGAAUGAAAAAGGCUUCACUCUUGCCUCUAUAUAUACUAUUAACUAGGACCUAUAUGGCUACGUCCUAUAGGAUUUCUAAUACAUGUCCAAAUUGCAAGACAAGUAUUUUAACUUGCAAGAUAAGUUUCUUAUAUAUGUGCUACAUUAUUAGCUUAUAUCACAACCUAUCUACAUAUAUAAUAUAUGGAUAAUUUAUUGACUAAGUUUUUAAUCUAUCAAUCAAUUAUAAACAUGUAUAAGACCAAAUAUAUGUUCAUAAAGCUUCUAAGAAGCUUUGCUACUAGAGAAUAUAAAAUCUACCUACAUUUAUCUUUUGCUUAAUAUUUCUUAUUUAAAUAAAUAUGUAUGUCAAAGAUAUUAUCUCCCCC
rnacentral:lncRNA from 1 species